UGAAUGCAUAUUUCCAUUUAAAUGUUCCUG
rnacentral:piRNA from 1 species